rnacentral:rRNA from 1 species
CAGCACCUAAAGUGGUCAGGAUGAUUAUUGGGCCUAAAGCAUCCGUAGCCGGCGCUGUAAGUUUUCGGUUAAAUCUGUAUGCUCAACAUACAGGCUGCCGGGAAUACUGCAGAGCUAGGGAGUGGGAGAGGUAGACGGUACUCGGUAGGAAGGGGUAAAAUCUUUUGAUCUAUUGAUGACCACCUGUGGCGAAGGCGGUCUACCAGAACACGUCCGACGGUGAGGGAUGAAAGCUGGGGGAGCAAACCGGAUUAGAUACCCGAGUAGUCC